AAAAACAGGGUUAGAAGAUAUUGAGUUGUGUUUGGGUGUGAGAUUCUAGGUUUGAUUUAUUUUCUUUAAAAUUUUAGUUAUUUUUGUCUUACCCUUGAACCUUAAACAUCCAGCUUAUGUUUUAUUUUUGCGCAAAUGACAAAAAGAAUGAACUUGUUGGUUCAGUGGUAAGAAUUUAGUUUACCUUUAAGUCUUGUGAUUAAAUUCUUGCAUAAGUAAAACAAAAUUAAAUUUUUAGUUCCU
rnacentral:lncRNA from 1 species